UACGUAGGUGGCAAGCGUUGUCCGGAAUUAUUGGGCGUAAAGCGCGCGCAGGCGGUCCUUUAAGUCUGAUGUGAAAGCCCACGGCUCAACCGUGGAGGGUCAUUGGAAACUGGGGGACUUGAGUACAGAAGAGAAGAGUGGAAUUCCACGUGUAGCGGUGAAAUGCGCAGAGAUGUGGAGGAACACCAGUGGCGAAGGCGACUCUUUGGUCUGUAACUGACGCUGAGGCGCGAAAGCGUGGGGAGCAAACAGG
rnacentral:rRNA from 1 species